rnacentral:misc_RNA from 1 species
UUAACUUAUUUGUAUAAAUACUCAGAGAGGCCAGUAAAGAACAAGAGUUAGAUGUCCUCCGGCGGGCGCCUGUGAAGGCUGCGGCUCCGGGGAGCCGCCCGCCGAAGCAACGGUUACGGGUAACGUUCACAAUGGUUUGGGAGUUUUGCAACUCUGUAAUGAUCCCUCCGCUGGUUCACCAACGGAGA